rnacentral:rRNA from 1 species
UCAAGAACAUUUGGCAAUGGGCGAAAGCCUGACCAUGCGACGCCGCGUGCUGGACGAAGUCCUUCGGGACGUAAACAGCUUUUAUGCGUGAAGAAGUAAUUGACAUUAGCGCAUGAAUAAGGGGCUCCUAACUCUGUGCCAGCAGGAGCGGUAAUACAGAGGCCCCGAGCAUUAUCCGGAAUCACUGGGCGUAAAGGGUGUGUAGGUGGCGCUAUUAGUCUUGCUUAAAAGCACUCGGGCUUAACCCGGGUAAUGGGCAAGAAACGGUAGUGCUUGAGGACGCGAGAGGUAAGGGGAACUCAUGGUGUAGGGGUGAAAUCCGUUGAUAUCAUGGGGAACACCAAAUGCGAAGGCACCUUACUGGCGCGCUCCUGACACUGAAACACGAAAGCGUGGGUAGCGAACGGGAUUAGAUACCCCUGUAGUCC